rnacentral:rRNA from 1 species
UACGUAGGGACCAAGCGUUGUUCGGAUUUACUGGGCGUAAAGGGCGCGUAGGCGGCAAUUCAAGUCAUCUGUGAAAUCUCCGGGCUUAACCCGGAACGGUCAGGUGAUACUGUUUUGCUAGAGUGCGGAAGGGGCAAUCGGAAUUCUCGGUGUAGCGGUGAAAUGCGUAGAUAUCAGGAGGAACACCGGUGGCGAAAGCGCUCGUCUGGCCCAAUACUGACGCUGAUGCGCGAAAGCUAGGGGAGCAAACGGG